rnacentral:rRNA from 1 species
CCCUUAGAUGUUCUGGGCUGCACGCGCGCUACACUGAUGCACUCAACGAGUUUACGACCUUGCCCGAUAGGGUUGGGUAAUCUUUUUAAAAUGCAUCGUGAUGGGGAUAGAUUAUUGCAAUUAUUAAUCUUCAACGAGGAAUUCCUAGUAAGCGCGAGUCAUCAGCUCGUGCUGACUACGUCCCUGCCCUUUGUACACACCGCCCGUCGCUCCUACCGAUUGAGUGCUCAGGUGAAUAAUUCGGACUGCAGCAAUGUUUGGAUCCCGAACGUUGCAGCGGAAAGUUUAGUGAACCUUAUCACUUAGAGGAAGGAGAAGUCGUAACA